UUUAUCUUUAUAUAUGCAUCCAACUAAUUUACACAUGUGACAUUGUAUAAAUCAUGGUGAAUUUAUCUACUAUUAUAGUAUGACUUACUUGAAAUAAUUGUUUAUUCACUUUCUAUUAAUUGAAUAUAUAUACACCCUUAACCACAUAAGAAUUUUUCAAAAAAUAAUAAUAUUUUUAAAAAGUAAGUUUGAACCACAAUGUCAAAUUUCAGGCAACGUAACCUUGAGCAUGCAGAAACACAAUAAGGCUAAACAACUUCCGAUGACCCAAAUGGCAGCCCUAAGACCUGAUGAGGAGUGCGGCAUCACGGCAUACACAGCAGCCAUGAAUGCCACCAUCAUUAACAUCAUAGCAACAAUAGUGAAAACAAAUGCCCAAAAGAACAGAUAAAAGAACUUUCUCUUGUUUCGUGACAGUGUCAACAAGAAGUGGAUAAGCAUAACGGAAAUGGAGAAGGCCAACGCCAGGGUGUCGGUUAUAAGGAAAGUUUUGAAGGCUGAUCU
rnacentral:misc_RNA from 1 species